AGAGUUUGAUCCUGGCUCAGGAUGAACGCUGGCGGCGUGCUUAACACAUGCAAGUCGAACGCUGAAGCUCCCAGCUUGCUGGGGGUGGAUGAGUGGCGAACGGGUGAGUAUCACGUGAGUAACCUGCCCUUGACUCUGGGAUAAGCCCGGGAAACUGGGUCUAAUACUGGAUAGGACUGGCCAUCGCAUGGUGGUUGGUUGAAAGCUUUUGCGGUUUUGGAUGGACUCGCGGCCUAUCAGCUUGUUGGUGGGGUAAUGGCCUACCAAGGCUUUGACGGGUAGCCGGCCUGAGAGGGUGACCGGCCACACUGGGACUGAGACACGGCCCAGACUCCUACGGGAGGCAGCAGUGGGGGAUAUUGCACAAUGGGCGCAAGCCUGAUGCAGCGACGCCGCGUGAGGGAUGACGGCCUUCGGGUUGUAAACCUCUUUCAGUUGGGAAGAAGCCUUUCGGGGUGACGGUACCUUCAGAAGAAGCACCGGCUAACUACGUGCCAGCAGCCGCGGUAAUACGUAGGGUGCGAGCGUUAUCCGGAAUUAUUGGGCGUAAAGAGCUCGUAGGCGGUUUGUCACGUCUGCUGUGAAAGCUCGGGGCUUAACUCCGAGUGUGCAGUGGGUACGGGCAGGCUGGAGUGCAGUAGGGGAGACUGGAAUUCCUGGUGUAGCGGUGAAAUGCGCAGAUAUCAGGAGGAACACCGAUGGCGAAGGCAGGUCUCUGGGCUGUUACUGAC
rnacentral:rRNA from 1 species